AGUGAGGAAUAUUGGUCAAUGGACGAGAGUCUGAACCAGCCAUGCCGCGUGAAGGAUGAAGGCGUUCUGCGUUGUAAACUUCUUUUAUCUGGGAAGAAACCUUCUUUUUCUAAGGAAGCCGACGGUACCAGAGGAAUAAGCACCGGCUAACUCCGUGCCAGCAGCCGCGGUAAUACGGAGGGUGCAAGCGUUAUCCGGAUUUACUGGGUUUAAAGGGUGUGUAGGCGGACUUUUAAGUCAGCGGUGAAAUCUCCGGGCUCAACCCGGAAACUGCCAUUGAUACUAUUAGUCUUGAAUAUUGUUGAGGUAGGCGGAACGGGUCAUGUAGCGGUGAAAUGCAUAGAUAUGACCCGGAACACCGAUUGCGAAGGCAGCCUACUAAGCAAUUAUUGACGCUGAGGCACGAAAGCGUGGGGAUCAAA
rnacentral:rRNA from 1 species